rnacentral:rRNA from 1 species
UACGAAGGGGGCUAGCGUUGCUCGGAAUCACUGGGCGUAAAGGGUGCGUAGGCGGGUCUUUAAGUCAGAGGUGAAAUCCUGGAGCUCAACUCCAGAACUGCCUUUGAUACUGAAGAUCUUGAGUUCGGGAGAGGUGAGUGGAACUGCGAGUGUAGAGGUGAAAAUUCGUAGAUAUUCGCAAGAACACCAGUGGCGAAGGCGGCUCACUGGCCCGAUACUGACGCUGAGGCACGAAAGCGUGGGGAGCAACAGG